GCUCCGGUGGCCUAGUGGUUAAAGCGUCCGCAUCGGACGCGGAAGGUUGUGGGUUUGAUACCCGGUCGGAUCA